rnacentral:rRNA from 1 species
GCGUGUUUUACGGGGUGCAGCAGGCGCGAAACCUUUACACUGCACGCAAGUGCGAUAAGGGGACCCCAAGUGCGAGGGCAUAUAGUCCUCGCUUUUCUCGACUGUAAGGCGGUCGAGGAAUAAGAGCUGGGCAAGACCGGUGCCAGCCGCCGCGGUAAUACCGGCAGCUCAAGUGAUGACCGAUAUUAUUGGGCCUAAAGCGUCCGUAGCCGGCCACGAAGGUUCAUCGGGAAAUCCGCCAGCUCAACUGGCGGGCGUCCGGUGAAAACCACGUGGCUUGGGACCGGAAGGCUCGAGGGGUACGUCCGGGGUAGGAGUGAAAUCCUGUAAUCCUGGACGGACCACCGAUGGCGAAAGCACCUCGAGAAGACGGAUCCGACGGUGAGGGACGAAAGCUAGGGUCUCGAACCGGAUUAGAUACCCGGGUAGUCCUAGCUGUAAACGAUGCUCGCUAGGUGUGGCACAGGCUACGAGCCUGUGCUGUG